rnacentral:rRNA from 1 species
AUGGUGAAGCUGGUGACGAUCCCCGUGGAGGUGAGGGAGGAUGAGAAGGCGGUCAAGUGGCUGGGGCACUACUCGUCGGCGCAGAGCAUCCUGGUCGUCGGCGACGGCGAUCUCUCCUUCUCGCUGGCGCUUGCCACCGCCUUUGGCUCCGGGGAGAAACUCGUCGCCACGUCCUUCGAGUCCUACGUUCAUCUGAUCAGCAUGUACAGCAAAGCGGAAUCAAACGUAGCGCAGCUCAAGAGACUGGGUGCCACGGUGCUACAUAGUGUCAGUGUGAAGAAGAUGAAGAAACGCACCGAUCUCAAGCCUAGACGGUUCGACCGAAUAGUCUUCAAUUUUCCUCACGCCGGCGCCCAUCGGCUGCUGGUGCAAAGGUUCUUCCGCAACGCGAGCAAGAUGCUCCGUCCCCUCGGCGAGAUACACGUCAGCCACAAGACGGGGCAGCCAUACAACAGAUGGGAAAUCGAGGGUCUCGCCCUUGAGUUUUCGCUUCUGAAGUCUGAGAUGGUCGCCUUCCGUAAAGAGGAUUACCCCGGGUAUAACCAGAAGAGAGGCGACGGUGACAGGUGCGACGAGGAAUUCCCUCUACGCAACGGCUGCACUUUCAAGUUCCAGCGCUGGCCUCGCUAA